UACAACAUUAUUCAUAUGCAGUGAUAUGUUUGGACAUGUGAACCGAAUAUAAGAAUGCUGUCUCAUAUUAACAAAUGACUUUAUCUACGUCUGACGGGAAAUUACCGUAGAAUCAUCACAUAACUUAAUAUCAUGUAAUGUAUUAUAGUUAUUUCUUGUUAAAACUGCACAACUUCAUAUUGAUUUAAAUGUAUUUACUUUUAUAAAUUUGAAAUACUGAUGACAUAAUGUUUCUAUUAAAAUGUUCCCAUACACAUAUAUGAAUGUGUGUUAUCAUAUAUAAUCAAGUAUAUUGUUUGGCUUCAUGUAUAAUUUUAACUUCACUAACAGACACGUGAGCCAUCUUAUAAAAUUCAGCUGUCAUGAGGAACAUUUUACAUCAGAAUUACUUAUUAAUUAUCCGACACAACGUGUCUAAAGUUUUAUUCUUUUGUAUAUUCUGACACAAAUUCAAUUCUGUUUAAUUUCAUAAAUGAUCUUGUUUGAUAAAAACAAGAGAUGGUGCUGAAUUACUGACGUGAUCAAAUACUGUAUAUUUGUAAUGUUGUCAGCAGGAUACUUUUUCUAUAUAAAUCAGUUCCAUCUGAAGCAGAAAUAAAGAAUAAGUUCAGUUGUGCAGUGAGAUUUAAACAUCUUUUCAGCAGUUAUGAAGCUUUUUGAUGUCACAGCAGCUGCAGGCUGCAAGAAUUCUCUACUAAUGAAGAGAAAACUAACAUGUAAAGCCUGAAGCAGCAGAAACUCAUUAAAAACACAUUUUCUACUUGUUCAAGAAAGCAACUGAAGGAACAUGAAAGUUUAUUCUUACCUGUUACAUACAGUUUAGUUCCAGAGCCAAAGAUCAAGUACCAAUAUCCCCCACAGUGAAACAGAGUGAUACAAAAACCUUCCUGCUGCUGAAUGUGUCAGCUGAGGUGAACGAGUCCACAUGAUGAACCAGGAUCAGAUUUCAGCUCCAUCAUGUGUUUCUCUAAUGUUCAUAUCAACAUGACUGUCUCUUCUUCUACUGUCUUCUUAGACACAGCAGCAGUGUUGCUCUGUGGAUGGUCAUGUCUGUGGCUCCACUGCUUUAGUCCACAUGGACUGGACCUGGACCAAAGGAUGGACGGAUGGACAGACGGGACAUUUUCUACAGACGUUCUUGGUCCUCAGAGGAUGAAUUUCAUUCUUUGACUUUGUCGAUUCUGAAUUUUCCUCUAAGCUGUAAGCCAGCUGUAAUUCCAGCUACUGAGUUACUGUAAGUGUAUUAUUAUUGUUUGUAUUGUUUUUGUUUGUAUUAUUUGGGGUGUAGUGCCCUUUAAGGGUUAGGACGGCACCCUAUGACACUCUUUACGACAUUUCGGGUGAGUUACGAUAGCGACCCUGUGAGAGUCGUGGGCUGAGACGGCCAGGGCUGCAGUGUGAACUAUUUCCUUUCUCUUGGAUUGAAGACCGUUUUGGAUUUCAUUUCAUUUCAUGGACUGACAGAAGGACUCAAACUAACAGAAAACGGUACGAAGGACAUCAUGUAGAUGGCCAUCUGUCAGUCUGGAUCUCAGCUUGGAUUUGUUGAUGGCCAUGGUGGAGAAGGUCUUCUCACAAAUGUAUGUGCUUCUGAAUAAAGAGCCUAUUGUGAUGACAUGCUGGCGAAGUGCAGGGUAUGUGGAUGGGGAAAGUCCUUUGUAGAGCUCGAUGAGGUUCUUCUGAGCCUCGGAGCUCUCCUGCAGGUCGAUGAGCUCAAACUGCAUUUCUCCAGGCUCUUCCUCAGGGACACAUGAGAAAGGAUUUUGGAAGAGGCUGAAUGACUUGUCGUGGUCCCUGAAGUCAGAGAAGAGAUGGUCGAAAUCCUCUCUGAGUUUUUGAUGAGGUUAUGGUUCUUGUCUGAACGCAGGUCACAUAAAACGUGGCACCCAUCUGUGUCUGUGUCAGCUACCAGCGCCUUGCAGGCGGGAAAAUGGGUUAGAUCUCCCUUCUUGAGCUGUCCCUGCAGCAGUUGAAGUUUUCACUGGAAAGCUUUGACGUUGUCAAAUAGUGUGGAAAUGAGCUUCCUAUGGCCCUGCAGCUUCACAUUGAGAUCGCUGAGACAAGUAUUCAGGUCAACAAGGAGCGUGAGGUCACAGAGCCAUUUUGUCCUUUUGACUCCAUGAACUCUCUUAUUUCUUUCCUCAGGUUAAAAAAACGGAGUUUUUUCUUGGUGGUAUGAAGUUGUCAUGUUCCUGUUUUACUUUGUGAUCACUCACCUCUGUCUCUGUUCCAGGUUCCUGUGUGCCCUGCCUCCUCCCCGUCUGUGUGCACCUGAUCCCUGAUUGUUUCUCUCACACCUGUCUCUAAUCUCUCCCCAUUAGUCCUGC